rnacentral:lncRNA from 1 species
UUUUUUUGUUGUUGUUUUUUGGUCUUUUUUUUUUCCUAACAUUUUUCAAGGCAAAAUAUCCAAUCCCUGUCUAAAAUGAUCAAAUUUUGCCCUGAAGCAAACUUGUAAAUUUUUGUGCAAAGACUCGUGAAACUUCACAAGGCAAGAGAUCAAUAAUUUCACCCUGUUCCGUUCUCAUCGUGCUCCUCAGUAUACAAACUGCCAACACGAAAAAGUUAAGAUUCAAAUAGCAAGUAAGAACUCUCUCCUAACCUUUUAAAAAUAAAGCAGUAUCUUUAAAAUAGAUGUGAUCAAUCCGUAUUCAAAAGUUUUAGGAAAAGAAAAAUAAACAAACAAAAAAAUCCCAAAAAAAACCUGAGUUCAGAGAUUUAGAAUAGUUUUACAUAAAUAGUAGACAUGUGUCUCAGUAACUGUACCAGCUAUAACAUGAGCUGCUCUCCCCACAGUACUUUUGAGUGUUUUGACUGUGUGUCUGAUGUUGUAACUUUUGUUACAAGCCAGGAUUUAAACAAGUGGCCAAAUGGCUGUACUUACUGCAGACACACCAAGGCACUGGGACAUGCUGCUUAGUAGUACACAACCUUUGGGGUGUUAGUGUUAUGUCCUUAUAAAUGUAGUGUGCAUAAAUUAAAUCUCAGCAAAUAUGAACCAAUACUAAGACAUGCUCUAUCAUCUUCUUUCAGUCUUCUUUAUCUUGGUGCAUCCAAGUUGUUAAUGUUUCCUUGUGAUUAGCUCUUGGUCUUUUAUUCUUCUUGCUGAGUUCUGUCGGAGAACUCAUUUAGUUCCAUGGCUUUGCCUAUGCCUUUAGCGCAGAGACUGCCCAUUUUCUGUUGCCAAUCUUUCUCCUUCAUCUGACCGUCUGUUAUUUAUUUUGUGGAUGUUUACUGGCAAUUUGUGCUCUUUGAUAAUUGACUCCUCUUCAUGGUAAACUCUCCAAGAUAAUCCCAAGCCAUGUCUUUUUUCUGAACUUUUAAUUUUUUUCAUAAAAGAAGUGUGCAUUCAAAUACACAGUGCUUGACAUCUUUGAGCAGAGGGGAAGUAGAUGGCAAGAGCUAGGAGUUAGGAUAGAAGUACAUUUGGGACCAAGCACAUCUUUAAGGCCUGGGAGCUUUGCCCCAAGUCACUAAUGGUCAUGUGAGAGAAAAGCAGGCACAGUUUUUGUCAAAUCUAAUUUUCCAAAUGGAAACAAAGUAUAAUUUGGUAGUGAAAUUUAUCAAUGUAUUUAACUGCCACCAAUGGUUGAACUCUCUUGAGGCCACAGGAGAUCUGUAAUGUGAAUGCCUACUGUCUGACAGUGACUUCUAUGUAGGAAAUGACCUAAAGGCAACUACAAAAAUAUAUCAGUAAAAAUAGAAAUUGCUUCUGAUGUCAUACAGCAAUCUUGUGAAAGACGUACAAAAGACUGAUGCAAAUAAGAUUAAGCACAUAUAAAUGUGCACAGAAUUUAGUUAAAAAGUUAAAACAGGCCUUCUUCUCCAUUUGGGAACUGUAUUUCUAAACCCAAUAUUAUUUGGGAAAAUUAAAGAGCUUUAGGAACAUAACUAAUUAAAUAUUGUUUUCAAUGUACCCUAAAAAGUAUUUUUUUUCAAAUAAAAGAAACAUACCAAAACCUGUUUAAGAUUUUGACCCUUAAAUAUUCCAAGUAUGAGGUAAAAAACCCAUGUUAGCCGUAAGGUAGAAAAGUCAGAAUAGUGAACUUUUUUUAUUUAUUCUGGCUGCAGAAAUUACUUUUUGCUAUUUACUUCACCUACAUGAGCUAGCUAAUUGGUUUGAAUAUAAAUAGCUAAACACCGAAAGAGGAGAAUAUAUUGAUAAAACAUCACAGCAUCAAUGUCCACUGAAUUCUGUCAGGACUGCUGUAGACCUACACGCAUUCACUUUUUGAAUUAGACGUCUAAUAGUUUAUGGGAGUGCAUAUUUCUUUAAGUUGAGUAACUAAAUUCAUGUUAAUAUAGUAUCAGUUUAUUGAACUUCAGAUUUCAGCUCAGGCAUCACAGAAGAGUGUGGAGCUAUAUUUAGAGUGAGAUCUGCAUAUUCCAUGCAGAUGGAACCAGUCCAUGAAUGUAUGUUGGUAUCAUUCCUGCCAGUCCUAAUAAAACUAUCUUUGGUGUGUUUGAACAAGACGCACGUUACACAUGAAAACUGAAACAUCAACCAUUAUAUACCCUUUAAGUGUAGAUGAAAUAAUUUUACAUCCACACAAUAUUUUUAAAUGUUGACUUUAGCAAAAACUUAAAAAUCCUCUGCAAUUUGAAAUGAAAAUUCAUGAUGCACAAAAUUAUGAAGGAAAACAAUGUCUACUCCAAAUACCCAUAACUUUUUUGAAUAAAAUUUCAGUGUUAUGAUUUAAUCUUUCUCAUUUAUGCUUUCUUGGUGUAUUUGAAUUCGUAGUGUUUUCAUGUGCAGUAUAACAUUUAAUCUGCACAGUACCCUUUCUGAAAAGUGGCAACAUUACAUGCUUAAUGGUGAAAGAAGUCCCAUGGAAGUGAAUGGCUGUCUUCCUCAUCAAAAAAAAGAAUCAUUUGCAAACCAAAUGCUGAAGGUAGGAUGCUCUCAAUUCCAGUACAGGCUUAUGAUUUUUAGCCAAAAAAAAAAAAAUGCGGACAACAAAAGGAAAUCUCUGUAGCUAAGUAGACAUCAAGUCUACAGGAAAAUGACUUGAUCUAAUUGGCUUAUUUAUUUUCUUAUUCCCCUUUACUUUGACUGUUAGCGAUUGACCCCACCCCUGAAUCAUGUGAAACUCAUGUUCUUUCACUGACCUGUACCCCUUACCCCACUGAUCUGAGUGUUUUGAGGUGCAGUAGUAAACUAAACAAUUGUAUACUAUGUAUAAUUUUAGACACAAUCCACCUAGCAUAAGUCUAUGUCACUGGUGAUUGGUUAUGUAUGAUUCUAUAUGUAUGGCAUUUUUUAAACCUAAUGUUACUAUAUAAAUUAUCUAGUGACAAUAAAUCAGUCACUAGGAAGUCACUAGGAAGACAGUUUUGAAGUCAAUAACGUACAGGCAGAAAUCUGUUACAGUAACUUAUGUCCGGACUCUUUUUCUUUAAGUCUUGCAAACUUUUAACUCAUGUUUCAGGACACAAGCCUCUCUCUGAAAAUGACUAGCAUCCCAAGAUGUGUCUUGAGAGUUCAUUACC